rnacentral:misc_RNA from 1 species
CAACCCCUCAAGCCUGGCUUGGUCCUGGGGCUCGCCCGCUGGGCGGCCCUUAAACACAGUGGCGGCGCCGUCGUGCUCUACGCGUAGUAAUUCUUCUCGCGACAGGGCGCUGACGGGGCCUGCCGAAGCUCCUUCUCUC